rnacentral:rRNA from 1 species
GGAGGAAAGUAGGGGAUCGCAAGACCUUGCGCUUUUGGAGUGGCCGAUGCCUGAUUAGCUAGUUGGUGGGGUAAUGGCCUACCAAGGCGACGAUCAGUAGUUGGUCUGAGAGGACGACCAGCCACACUGGGACUGAGACACGGCCCAGACUCCUACGGGAGGCAGCAGUGGGGAAUUUUGGACAAUGGGCGAAAGCCUGAUCCAGCAAUGCCGCGUGAGUGAAGAAGGCCUUCGGGUUGUAAAGCUCUUUCAGUCGAGAAGAAAAGGUUGUGACUAAUAAUCACAACUCAUGACGGUAUCGACAGAAGAAGCACCGGCUAACUACGUGCCAGCAGCCGCGGUAAUACGUAGGGUGCGAGCGUUAAUCGGAAUUACUGGGCGUAAAGGGUGCGCAGGCGGCUUUGUAAGUCAGAUGUGAAAUCCCCGGGCUUAACCUGGGAAUUGCGUUUGAAACUACAAAGCUAGA